UACGGAGGGAGCGAGCGUUGUUCGGAAUUACUGGGCGUAAAGGGUGCGCAGGCGGCUUGGCAAGUCGGAAGUGAAAUCCCAGGGCUUAACCCUGGAAUUGCUUUCGAAACUGCCAAGCUAGAGUCUCGGAGAGGUUAGCGGAAUUCCCAGUGUAGAGGUGAAAUUCGUAGAUAUUGGGAGGAACACCGGUGGCGAAGGCGGCAUCCUGGACCGGCAUUGACGCUGAGGCGCGAAAGCCAGGGGAGCAAACGGG
rnacentral:rRNA from 1 species